rnacentral:lncRNA from 1 species
AAAAUCCUAACGGAAGAAGAUUUUGAGCCGCUUGCUCGAGCUUACUCUUGUUUUGUGCGUUGUCUUCAAUACAUCUGUGCUUUCAUUACUUCUUUCUUCUGUUGCUUUGUUUUUCGUUGCUUCAUUUUUUUUGUUACCUUGUUUGCUCAUUUUGUUCAAUUCUUUGCUCAACACCCAAGAACCUGCACAACUCUGGUAACAUUUUGGAGAGCCAGCCAAGAGGCUGAAGUUUAUUUCACUUGGCGGGACGCAAA